rnacentral:rRNA from 1 species
AUUGAACGCUGGCGGCAGGCCUAACACAUGCAAGUCGAGCGGUAGAGAGAAGCUUGCUUCUCUUGAGAGCGGCGGACGGGUGAGUAAUGCCUAGGAAUCUGCCUGGUGGUGGGGGAUAACGUUCGGAAACGGACGCUAGUACCGCAUACGUCCUACGGGAGAAAGCGGGGGACCUUCGGGCCUCGCGCCAUUAGAUGAGCCUAGGUCGGAUUAGCUAGUUGGUGAGGUAAUGGCUCACCAAGGCUACGAUCCGUAACUGGUCUGAGAGGAUGAUCAGUCACACUGGAACUGAGACACGGUCCAGACUCCUACGGGAGGCAGCAGUGGGGAAUAUUGGACAAUGGGCGAAAGCCUGAUCCAGCCAUGCCGCGUGUGUGAGGAAGGUCUUCGGAUUGUAAAGCACUUUAAGUUGGGAGGAAGGGUAGUAACUUAAUACGUUGCUACUUUGACGUACCGA